UAACAAUAUUAAAUUCAAAGUUUAUAGUAGAAAAUUGUCAGGGGGUAUGUAAUGGCACAUAAACAGUAUUAAAGCCAAUUUAUGAUCUAACUGAUGUUAUACAGCUAUAGGAUAGUCCACAUUGUAUGAAACGUUAUAAAACAAUACAGAGUCUACAUAUAGGUAUGAUACCAGAAAAAAAGCUCUAUUGAUAUGAAGGACAAACUUGAGUAAGUUGACUACUUACGAUUGUGCCUCAUCAUAUCAUCAUCAUAAGCAGCAGCACAGCAUAGUUAUGCUGAACUCACUACAUACAACAUUGCAUUUCAUUUAAUACUGUCAAUAACUCUUUGACUUAUUUAUAAUUACAUUCUAAAUAUAAGAAAAUGAGAAUCAGAGAGAUCAAGUAACUUAUCUCAAGACACACAGCUAGAAAAUGGCAUCCAACAGGAAUUGACUACAGGUUUCUCUUCUUCUAGAUCUCUUGCUAUCAUCUCCUGCUAUGCAUCCUACAACUUCUCCCAGGCACUCACUUGAGAGUCAAGACAUUUACUUGAUUUUGCCGCCAUAGUUCACAUAACCUUGUUUUUUCCCUUGCACAGAUGGCCUCCAUGGAAAUUCUCCAACACCCACUUCUACAGUCAAAUGUUUUCUUCAGUUGUGUAUGAAAUGGAGAUUAAGAAGAUCAUCUCACAUAAUAGAACUACCUGCAGAAGAAUUCUCUUUUUCACUGACCCCAUCUGAAAUAUUCUGUACCUUUUUCUGGGCCAAGGACUUUCAUAUGAUUGCUACACAGGAAAUUACAAAAUAA
rnacentral:lncRNA from 1 species